rnacentral:rRNA from 1 species
GACGAACGCUGGCGGCGUGCUUAACACAUGCAAGUGGAGCGACGAACCGGGCUUCGGCCCGGGGCAAAGCCGCGAACGGGUGAGUAACACGUGGGUAACCUGCCCCGAUGACCGGGACAACCCGAGGAAACUCGGGCUAAUACCGGAUGUGCUCGCCUCACAUCAGUGAGACGAGUAAAGGUAGCUUCGGCCUCCGCAUCGGGAUGGGCCCGGGGCGCAUUAGCUUGGUGGUGGGGUAACGGCCUACCAAGGCGACGAUGCGGAGCUGGUCUGAGAGGACGAGCAGCCACACUGGGACUGAGACACGGCCCAGACUCCUACGGGAGGCAGCAGUGGGGAAUCUUGCGCAAUGCGCGAAAGCGUGACGCAGCAACGCCGCGUGAGUGAUGAAGGCCUUCGGGUUGUAAAGCUCUUUUAGUGGGGAAGAAGCCCUCCAGGGCUAAUAUCCCUGGGGUCUGACGGUACCCACAGAAAAAGUUCCGGCUAACUACGUGCCAGCCGCCGCUGUAACAC